UACGGGGGGGGCAAGCGUUGUUCGGAAUUACUGGGCGUAAAGGGCGCGUAGGCGGUUUGCUAAGUUGAAUGUGAAAACUCUGGGCUUAACCCAGAGCCUGCAUUCAAUACUGGCAGGCUAGAGUUCUGGAGGGGAUAGCGGAAUUCCUGGUGUAGCGGUGAAAUGCGUAGAUAUCAGGAGGAACACCGGUGGCGAAGGCGGCUAUCUGGGCAGAGUCUGACGCUGAGGCGCGAAAGCUAGGGGAGCAAACAGG
rnacentral:rRNA from 1 species